CUAAUUAGUUUCUAGUCAAUUUCUACGUUCAGAAAAGCUAUUAUGGGAACCCGAUACUCUAAAAUUAAUUUCAUAAUAUUUUUAUUUUAGUAGAUUAAAAGAGACAGUUUAAUGCACUAAGACCCCGCUAUAUGUAGGAUUCGAGAUUUGAGGAAGGGCCGAACUACAAAGGUCUAUUAUGUGCAGUCUUACCUUACAUCUAUACUAGAGGUUGUUUCCACAGCUCAAACUCGUAACUUUCUGAUUAUAUAAUAGCAACUUUAUCAAUUACGGCAAGACUCUACUUUAAUGUUUUAGUAGAUUGUUUUUAAUUAUCAAUGUUUGUCCUUAGCCGCCUAUUACCUUUAAUAGAUAUUUA
rnacentral:lncRNA from 1 species